rnacentral:rRNA from 1 species
GAUGAACGCUGGCGGCGUGCCUAAUACAUGCAAGUCGAGCGAACAGACGAUGAGCUUGCUCCUCGGACGUUAGCGGCGGACGGGUGAGUAACACGUGGAUAACCUACCUAUAAUACUGGGAUAACUUCGGGAAACCGGAGCUAAUACCGGAUAAGAUAUUGAACCGCAUGGUUGAAUAGAGAAAGACGGUGUUGGUGGCAGGUAUAGAGGGAUCCGCGCCGCAUUAGAUGGUUGGUAAGUUAACGGGUUACCAAGGCAACGAUGCGUAGCCGAGGUGAGAGGGUGAUCGGCCACACUGGAGCUGAGACACGGUCCAGACUACUACGAGACGCAGCAGUCGGGAAUCUUACGCAAUGGGCGAGAGCCUGACGGAGCAACGCGGCGCGAGUUAUGAAGGUCUUCGGAGCGUAAAAAUCUGUUAUUAGGGAAGAACAAAUGUGUCAGUAACUAUGCACGUCUUGACGGUACCUAAUCAGAAAGCAACGGCUAACUACGUG